rnacentral:rRNA from 1 species
GGGGGGGGGGGGGGGGGGGGGGAGGGGGGGGGGGGGGGGGGGCGGGGGGGGGGGGGCGGGCGGUGGCGGGGGGGGGGUGGCGGGCGGGGGAGGAGUACAUCGGAAUCUACUUUUUCGUGGGGGAUAACGGGGGGAAACUUACGCUAAUACCGCAUACGACCUACGGGUGAAAGCAGGGGAUCUUCGGACCUUGCGCGAUUGAAUGAGCCGAUGUCGGAUUAGCUAGUUGGCGGGGUAAAGGCCCACCAAGGCGACGAUCCGUAGCUGGUCUGAGAGGAUGAUCAGCCACACUGGAACUGAGACACGGCCCAGACUCCUACGGGAGGCAGCAGUGGGGAAUAUUGGACAAUGGGCGCAAGCCUGAUCCAGCCAUACCGCGUGGGUGAAGAAGGCCUUCGGGUUGUAAAGCCCUUUUGUUGGGAAAGAAAAGCAGCAGGUUAAUACCCCGCUGUUCUGACGGUACCCAAAGAAUAAGCACCGGCUAACUUCGUG